UAACACAGUGAGCUGCCUAACUUGGCAACAGUUUAGGAAAUCAUAUUUGUGUUCCCAGAUUGCAGGCUGUUCUAAAUAGUAAGCAAUAAAAUAAAUCGGCCUUAUAAGAUGCCUUAUUAGUUCACAUCCUGCCCCCCUUUCAUAUUUGUUUGUUAAAUAUUUUAUCUAAUUUAAUAAUUCGAUUAUGCUUUCAGCCAUCAAUAAGACUGCAGUACCGUCAACUCCAUUUAACACAUUUUAUCUCCAAAAAGCACCAAAAAUACAAAAAAAGUCUGCAGAUUCCAUCUGGGGCUGCUAUGAUCCAAUUCAGUCAGGAUGCUGCCUUAGAAGGAAGCUGCCUGUGUUGACUAUAGUCAGCGAGAACAGACCAAGCUUUGGAACAGACGUACAUUUCCGAGUGUAUUCCUCAGAGUGUUGUAUUCUUAGUGAUGUUCUCGUAAACCGAAUAGAGCUCACAUUGUGUUCUCAGUUUCUUAAAGACUGCUAUAACUCACUCUCACACACACACACUUACAGUAAGAAGGUCUAAAGGUAUAUAAAUCCACAGAGAUGACAAAGAGAGAGACAGAUUAACCGAUUUUACGAUACUGAAGUUGUUCUCUAUCUGAUUGCAUGGGAUGCGGAUGGCACUAGGUAAAGUUCCAGUUUAACGGUGAUGUAAUGUCCCAGUUGGUUGGUUUAACAGGCUGCUAUAUGGACGCUGUGACAGGGAUCUAGCUCCAUGCUGAUUGUUGUCGCAGCGACGGGAUUCCAACGUGGAUAAUUGCUCUAGGAGCUUAGUGAUGUGGGCCACCUGCCGGAACAGUUGGCCGUGUAUGUGUGUGUGUUUAUAUGGGGCAGGAGGAUGGGAUUGUCGGGAAAGCAUAGACAUACUAGUUUUGCAUCUUUGCCACAUGCAUUAUUGGGCCAAGGUCAUGGAAAAGACACACAUUGUCAAAUAAUUGAAAAAUUCAUUGAUGAGAAAAGCUGAUCCUGUGUUGUAAUAUUAAAACUGUCUCUUGAAAGUGUCUAGAAACACACAUGCAUGCAUGCACAGAUACACGUGUACACAUGCAAGCACACUUCCAUGCAUGCAAUCACACGUAUGCAAAUACAUGCACACAAGCACACAAGUACACACACACAUACACAGAUGCAAAUAUACACACGCAUACAUACUGUACAUGCAAGUUCAUGUAUUCAAAAACAAUACAGGCAUGAAAAUGCAUGCACACAUCCACACAAGCAUGCAAACACCCAAACAGACACAUAUAGAUGAAAUAUACAUGCAAGCACACAUAAAUGCAUAAAAGCACACGUAUGCACAUUUGCAAGCAUGUUAUUACAACACCCAAGUAUACAGAUGCAAAUAUACAUAUACAUGUAAGCAUACUGUACAGACACACUGAGGCAUGCAAAACAACAAUACAAGCAAUCAAAUGAAUACACCUACACACACACACACACACACAAUCAUCAUAUCUGAAAUGAAAAAAAAAACAACAAAAAAAAACAACAACUUACCUUUACUUGUGUUUAAAUUCAAACAACACAGACUAAACCUGAUUGGUUCCAGAGCCAUUGAACGGCUCUGAUUGGUUCGUAUGAUAAUGAGCUCACACCAGAGAGCUUCGUAAAUCAAAUAUGAUGUGCGUGCAAAUGUCCCUUGAAUGUGAAUAUAAGUCUAAAUUUAAACAGUAUUAUAUAGAGCGAUCGUGUCUCUUUAGGGCGCUUGGAGGAAACCACGCAAUUCAUAUGGAUUACUUUGGCGAUGUUUUUUUGCGAUUCACUUUUUGAAACGUGAACAUCUUUGAUGAAUCUUUUCAUCGGCGGGACAUAAAUCUCUCAGAAUUCAUUAAAAUAUCUCAGCUUUUCUUUCGAAGAUGAACGAAAGUCUUAGAUGGUUUGGAGCAUCUUAAGGGUGAGUGAUGGCAGAAUUCAUAUUGUUUUGGGGGAACUAUGAAAUUAAUUAGACAAUAUAGCGGUAUGUUCUUAUUUUUACCAGCUUCUGCAAGCGUUUAUGGCAUCUGGCUUUUGGAACCUCACUGUGACUUCAGAUAAGAACAAAGAUUAAAUUGCAAGAAGGGUUGCUCAUAAGAGAGCAUACAGUACAUCUGAAACUGCUGAGGCUGGGAAGGUUUUUGACUAUAUUUCCGACCAGAUCAGCUGCUAUAGAAGACAAACUGAAAUCUGAGUGCAGAGACAAGCAAAGGAAUACUGCAAGGCACUUGUGCAAAAUAUUGUAUGACAGGACGACUAGGCUGUGCCCAUGUUUCCGGAACCUGCGGUGACGCUCAGCUCCAUCGGCCCUCCGUCUGAGCAUUCGGGUCCACCAGCUCCGUCUCCAUCGGUUGGCCCCCAGAUGUCGGCAGCCACACCAUCUACAUCUUGGCUCCUCCCUCACUCGACUCUGCCGUGUUGUCAGCACUGGGAUGCCAUGUGCCAAACACCAUCUAAGCUGCCAGGGCAUCAUCGUCAUCCUCCCAUCACCAUCCCUUCACCACAUCCUGCCAUCAUCCCUCACCUUUGCCUCUCACCAUCCCUACGCCAUCUCCUCGUCCACCUCCAAACCCCCUCCGUCCCUCCCUAAUUCUGUCGCUUGAACUUUAUCAUCUUCAUCUUUUUUGUGUCUUUUUUUUCUUCAGAAAAUUGCAUUGUAAUUUUUAUUUAUUCAUUGAUGUAAAAUUCUUUACUUUUCAGUAAUAGAGGUAUAACUGAAAUGUUCUACAAAUGGAUAAGAUAGCUCUGCCACAGCAUUUCAGUCUUUUUUCAUUUAUUAUAAUGUUUUUUGUAUAAUGUUUUAAAAUGUACUUGAGUAUGUUUGUAGUAAUACAAAUAUACUAUCAACAUACUUGUAUUUCAAGUGCAUUCUUAAUACAUGUAAUAGUAUGUUUUUUGUUUUUCACCAAAGUAUAUA